rnacentral:rRNA from 1 species
CUUGCUUCUCUUGAGAGCGGCGGACGGGUGAGUAAUGCCUAGGAAUCUGCCUGGUAGUGGGGGAUAACGUCCGGAAACGGACGCUAAUACCGCAUACGUCCUACGGGAGAAAGCAGGGGACCUUCGGGCCUUGCGCUAUCAGAUGAGCCUAGGUCGGAUUAGCUAGUUGGUGGGGUAAUGGCUCACCAAGGCGACGAUCCGUAACUGGUCUGAGAGGAUGAUCAGUCACACUGGAACUGAGACACGGUCCAGACUCCUACGGGAGGCAGCAGUGGGGAAUAUUGGACAAUGGGCGAAAGCCUGAUCCAGCCAUGCCGCGUGUGUGAAGAAGGUCUUCGGAUUGUAAAGCACUUUAAGUUGGGAGGAAGGGCAGUAAAUUAAUACUUUGCUGUUUUGACGUUACCGACAGAAUAAGCACCGGCUAACUCUGUGCCAGCAGCCGCGGUAAUACAGAGGGUGCAAGCGUUAAUCGGAAUUACUGGGCGUAAAGCGCGCGUAGGUGGUUCGUUAAGUUGGAUGUGAAAUCCCCGGGCUCAACCUGGGAACUGCAUUCAAAACUGACGAGCUAGAGUAUGGUAGAGGGUGGUGGAAUUUCCUGUGUAGCGGUGAAAUGCGUAGAUAUAGGAAGGAACACCAGUGGCGAAGGCGACCACCUGGACUGAUACUGACACUGAGUGCGAAAGCGUGGGGAGCAAACAGGAUUAGAUACCCUGGUAGUCCACGCCGUAAACGAUGUCAACUAGCCGUUGGGAGCCUUGAGCUCUUAGUGGCGCAGCUAACGCAUUAAGUUGACCGCC